GUGGACGUGGUGCAUGGUGCACUGUUGCUUUUAAUUGAGGGGUCGCAAGCGAUUACGCAGCUGAAGGGGUUCGACUCCCCGCGUUCGCA